GUCUCUGCUUGGACUGGGAUCUCCAAGAAAAGGUUUGAUAUUUGAAAGAGGAAGUUUUAUACCAGACAAAAUGGACAACUUUGAAAUUAAUCUCAGAAAGAACUUUAUCUGGGAUUUGCUUUGGAAUAAUCUUCUCAGCUGCUCCAUGAAGCCAGAAUUUGGACAUAUGGAAGGCCUUGCAUUUUUCACCAAAGAAAAAGCAUUGGUAAAUGAAGUUUCUUCAGAAUUCAUUACGAAGCCUAUUACAACUGCAGCAGCCCUGGAAACUCCU